rnacentral:lncRNA from 1 species
AUGGAUCCGAAGUUUCUGAGGAAUCAGAGGUAUGCAAGGAAGCAUAACAAGAGUAACGGUGCCUCAGGUUCUGAGAUGGAGGAGUAGAGCAUGAACACAGUGCAAGAUGGUUUUUUUCAUUUGGAUGUUCUUGUGCUUUUUGACUGUUAGACUGUCUUGGAAUGAUGUCGAUUAAACUUCAUAUGAACAAAAUUUGUCAUUUUUAUAUUGCUUUUCCAACCACGUUGAAAACUUUUAGUGCAAAGUAGUAUUUAUGUUGCAAUA